UUCCUCGAGAUGCGGAGCAUAUGAGGACGGGAAACGACGAAAUAAAGUGUUUAAUGUUACGCACAAAAUGUGUUUUGUAAUAUCAUAUCGUUUUAUAACGAUAUUCAUGUGCUGUAUGCCGCUAAACUUUUGUCAGACAUUUUUUUCCACUCGCGAUGGGGAACAGACGAGAGCGCUGUGCAAUUAACGUUAACUUAGCUCUAAACUUUUUCUUUGAGAGAUAACGUUAUUUCCUUUCACUCGCGAUGCGGAGCAGACAGGACAGUUUUAUUAAGGAAAACACAGAAAGUAAGUGUUUUACCUCAUUUACAUUAUGUAUAAUAUUACAUUAUGGCCACAUUAAUAUGUACACAUUAAUAUUGCACCUAAAGGUUUCUCACAGUACAUGCUGUGCCCUCCUGAACAUUUUCUCAGAAAGAGAUUUUCUUUCAAUCACGAUGCGGAGCGGACGGGAAAGUUGGUUUUUAUCAAGGAAAAGUGUUUUACUUCAUUUACAUUAUGUGUAAUAUUACUUUAUGAUGAUAUUAAUAUCCUGCGUGCACGUAAACAUUUCUCAUAGAUCUGAAUUGCUAUGCAGUGCUGAGGUGGAGGUAAAUUUUAACAGGGAAACACUAGAAGUAAAUGUUUUAUGUCAUUUAAAAUAUGAUUUUAUAACGUCAUAUUGAUUUAUAGUGAUAUUUAUGUGCUGUGCUCUCCUGAACUUUUUCUCAGAGAGAUAUUUUCUUUCAAUCACAAUGCAGAGCAGACGGGAAAGUUGGUUUUAUCAAGGAAAAUGCCAAAAUCUGGAGCAGAAAGAGUUACCAUGGAAAUGGGGCGGAAACUCAACUGUCCAGCAGCAAAACACAUCUCCCACUGUUGUUUUCACAAAUUUCAGAAAUGGUUUAUUGUCUUAAGAAAAAGUCUGUUAGCAUCUCAACCGUAAUGCUAACUAUAAGAGGUAAGUUAGGUUAACUGUUGACUCGAGCUCUCGUUUAUGAAAGUCUGGACUUUUAAUGUUAUCUUAAUUAAUGUUACUUGCUGUUUUGCUUUUUUAUUAUAAAGGUUUUGCAGGCAAUUUGUAAUUGGAUGAAAGGAAGUAAGCUAAUUUAUUUAACCUAGAAGUAUGCAAUGUACAGUUCAUCAGAUACAAAAUUAACAUGGAGUGUGAAAAUGGGCUGAAAAUACUUUAAACAUGUUUUGAUCAUUCAUGGUAAACAAAUAUUGAUUCCACUUGUCCUGUGACUUCAGCAAUUUCAGAAAAAAAAACUUCUACGACACAGGAAGAGUUCCUGAUUUUAAAAUUUCUGAAGAGAGCUACUGACAGAGAUAUAAAAAACACAGAUUCUUCCAUGCUAAUGGCCGUGCAACAGAGUUGGAACGUAUCUCCUGUCGAAAAAUAUCUCUAGACAUUAUGAACCAUAUGACUAAGACUGAAAAUCAUCAAUAAAACACAAGUGGAUUGAUAGCUCCAACACCAAUUAGGGCAGACCUGAGCAGCUGAUCAAGGAUCACCAGAAACUCUGCAGAACUUCAGUACCCAGUCCUCAAUAAGUCCACAAUACCCAGGACUGGAAACCAGAGUUCUAAAUAAAACCAAAGUCCAUUCAGCCACAGGUCACUGCAUCUUUUGCUGUAUGCUGGAGAAAAAACAGCCAGGCUAAAGCAUUUAAAAUGGAAACUUUUGUCGUGGCUCAAAAAUCCAGGAUUGGGAUGGUGGAAGGAGCAGAAGAAGCAGAAGACCAGAGAUCGGGCAGAGAUCUACUGAUGCCCCUGAAGGAACUGUUUAACUAAUGUGUUCGGUUUAAACCAAAAAUUUUCAGCACUCACCUUCAUGUCUUUCCUAAUCUGUAAAACUUUUGGUCAUCUUUGAAACAUAAAUGUAGAUCUUUUUAAUGAAAUCUGAGAAAUUCCUGUCCCUCUAUUUCACACUUUAUGCAACUACCAUUUUCGAGCCUCAGAAAGGUAGUAAAGACAGCAUUAAUGUAAGCCAUGUGACUCCAGUUGUUUAACCUUAAUUUUAUUAAGUGAUGUGAAUGGUUUAUAAUGCAUAAAAAACAUUGCAUUUUUAUUCACACACACACAAAAAAAUCUUAUGGUGCUUUUGUGAAAAUGCGUUGGAGAUACCUAAUUUAUGAAUAAAGACGUAAUUUUGUUGUUGCUGCAAGGCAUCUGUUUAAAAAAAAUAUUUAUUUGCAUUCUGCAAAAACAUUUCUUAUGGGUUUGGAGUGACAUCAGAGUAAGUAAUUAAUGGCAAAAUUAGUAUUUUUUGGGUGAGAUGUGUUCUAAUGUGGUUAGAAUUGGUCAUUGUCCUGUGUUAUAAACAUUUUCAGUAUUUCAAAGAUUAUUGUUUUGAAAAAUCAGUUUCAAAUAAGUUCUGCUCCUUUGAAAGUUGUAUUAGAAGAAUACUGUGAAAAUAUGUUUCCCACAAAAAAUAUUGGGCAGCACAACUGUUUUCCACAUUGAUAAUAUUCUGAAAUGUUUCUUGAGCAGCAAAUCAUAUUAAAAAUGUUUUCUGAAGGGUCAUGUGACACUGAAUACUGGAGUAAUUAUGAUGAAAAUGUAGUUAAUAUAAAUUACCUUUCACAAUGUAUUCAUAUAGAAAACAGUUAUAUUUUAUAAUUUUACUGUUUUUACGGUAUGUUUAAUCAAAUGCAGGCUUAAUUUGUGAGCAGGAAAGUGUUUUUUACUUGA